CCAAGAAAUGACAAGAAAUUAGCAGUUAGCAGUAUGCUAGUGUUCCUUUGCAAACACAGAGCGAGACAGGCUGCUGCAGAGAAGGUCUAGGCAAGGUUGAGAGAGACUUUCCAAACAUUAGUAAAAGUAGAGUCUAGUAAAUGCACCACGUCUGUCUUUUUGCUUCCCCCAGGGCUGCUUUCCCCAGCGGGGCCUGCCAUGGGAAAGCACAUCAGACAUAAAGUGCUGGUUCCUGGUUGCUAGCAUUCCCGCAAGAGCUCUAUAAAUAAGCAGCCGCGCUAGCGGGUGCAAGCUGUAGUCACUGAGCCGCAGAAAGACAGAGAGAGAGAAAGAGAGAGUGUGACAGAUGACUCGAGUUGAUGGGACUGCAGAGGGAAAACCCUGAUGUGUCCUCUACACACCAACACAAGGGCAAACGCAUUGUCACCCUGACUAGCGCUGCCCAGGGAAAACACGGCUGAGAGGCUAAUGGCCUGAGAGAGGCCCUGGACAUUCAUUCACACAACUCAGUUGUGGACGAGACCCCCGUAAUCAGAGGACAGGAGAGAGGAACGAGGCCUCGGAGACAGAGGGACACCGAAAGAAUUAGCGAGGUCGGUGGUGUGCUCCGGCAGGUGAGGGGGGAUUUUGGUGAGUUUGAGGUUGGAGCAGUCCACCACUGUUCCCUCACACCGACAGCGCUCGGGACAAACCAGGUCCUGGAAACACUCGCCACUGAGACGACUGCGAUAACAGCGUCAUUGAGCAAGAGGUCAGGUAUUGGAGGUCUGGCACUACGAAGUGUUUUGACAGGAAAACACAGGCAGUUUCUGCGUAACACGAGCUUCUGGCCGCCCGCGAUAAGUCUGCUUCCCAUCAGCCAUCACUCGCCUGCCACUGUUUAUCUUAUUCCCACCAUCUCCGUUCGGCUGCCCUGAUGCUUCCAGCCAAACGUCUACGAGAGCGACCUUAAAGCAAAAACGCAGACGCAGAACACGGCUAGAGCUCCUCAUAAGCGAUCCGUUGUUCCUGGGUUAAAGAACACCACCUUCACUCCUCACGGCGGCAAAGACAGCUGCCACCGCACAUAUCCCAGAAUGCCAUGCUGUGUGCGAGUGUGUCCAGCGGUCCCUGGUGCUUGACGGAACCAUGUGAGGCUUGUGUAGGCGGCGGCACAUGGUUAGAUCAAGCACAAGAGACAGCUGCACCAGAGGCCAGAGUGGAGGAGCGGAGCGGGACGGAGAGGUGGGGAGGAGGAGGAGGAGGAAGGAGCAGCCAGGACACAGCAGCCAGGAAGCCGCCCAGAACUCUGGGCCACCAUGCACACAGGCGGGCCGGCCCCUUUCCCUCAUCCCAGCAUGGACAAUAGCCCACUGGGAAUUACAAGCCCGAAAAGACAGACAGACAGACAGACAGACAGACAGACAGGGACUAGAAAGACACACAUAAAGACAUCACAGAGGAGAAAGGAAUGGAGCAAAGCCCUCUGCAACCACACAUACACACACGACCGUAGCCAGGGUUUGAAAAUUAGUGAGGUCCAAAUACAACUCAUUAUAUACACUAACACUUUAAAACAGACAAGAGAUGAUGUAGAUGUUCGUGAAAGAUGUUUCCUCUGUUUUGGAGGGGUGAACAUAUUUAUUGCAUCAAAACCUAUUUUACUAUAGGUUAGGGGUAUUCAUUAAUAGCAAUUGCUUUAUAGAUGGUGCUCUUACGAAUGUUUUUAGCAUGAUUUGUGAAAAUUUAACUACUAUAGCUACUGAAUGACAUAGCGUAGACUUCUUCACGGCUAGUGUUUGCGUAUAGGCUAUUUAAUUUCAUUCUGUAACCUGCUUGUUCUACAGAUCUGUGUACUGGUGUUAAAUGCUACUGUUUUUGACAUUUCAUGAUAUUUUUUUUUUUGCGUUUCUCUUGCUGAAUGUGCUAUCCUGACAGCAAUAACCUGUCCGUGGGCUUUUUUGAUCACUGUCAGUUCAAGUGCUGGCGAUGCAGUGUUGCCAAAUAUUGCUAUAAAAACAAAUA